CUCUAGUUUAGCAAAUAGACUAGGGCAAAGGAG
rnacentral:ncRNA from 1 species